rnacentral:rRNA from 1 species
GGGUGAGUAACACGUGAGCAACCUGCCUUCGAGAGGGGAAUAACGGCUGGAAACGGUCGCUAAUACCGCAUAACAUACCGGGAGGACAUCCUGCUGGUAUCAAAGAUUUAUCGCUCGAAGAUGGGCUCGCGUCCGAUUAGGUAGUUGGUGAGGUAACGGCUCACCAAGCCGACGAUCGGUAGCCGGACUGAGAGGUUGAACGGCCACAUUGGGACUGAGACACGGCCCAGACUCCUACGGGAGGCAGCAGUGGGGGAUAUUGCACAAUGGGGGAAACCCUGAUGCAGCGACGCCGCGUGUGGGAAGACGGUCCUCUGGAUUGUAAACCACUGUCCCCAGGGACGAAGAUGACGGUACCUGGGGAGGAAGCUCCGGCUAACUACGUGCCAGCAGCCGCGGUAAUACGUAGGGAGCGAGCGUUGUCCGGAAUUACUGGGUGUAAAGGGAGCGUAGGCGGGGAUGCAAGUUGGGUGUCAAAACUACCGGCUCAACUGGUAGUCGCACUCAAAACUGCAGCUCUUGAGUGAAGUAGAGGCAGGCGGAAUUCCUAGUGUAGCGGUGAAAUGCGUAGAUAUUAGGAGGAACACCAGUGGCGAAGGCGGCCUGCUGGGCUUUUACUGACGCUGAGGCUCGAAAGUGUGGGGAGCAAACAGGAUUAGAUACCCUGGUAGUCCACACCGUAAACGAU